CCUACGGGCGGCAGCAGUGGGGAAUCUUGCACAAUGGAGGAAACUCUGAUGCAGCGACGCCGCGUGAGCGAUGAAGCCCUUCGGGGUGUAAAGCUCUUUCGGCAGGGAAGAUAAUGACGGUACCUGCAGAAGCAGCUGCGGCUAACUACGUGCCAGCAGCCGCGGUAAUACGUAGGCAGCAAGCGUUGUUCGGAGUUACUGGGCGUAAAGGGCACGCAGGCGGUCGUGUAAGUUUGGGGUUACAGCUCCCGGCUCAACUGGGAGAGCGCCUUGAAGACUGCAGGACUUGAGGGCCAGAGAGGGACACAGAAUUCCGGGUGUAGUGGUGAAAUGCGUAGAUAUCAGGAGGAAUACCAAAGGCGAAGGCAGUGUCCUGGGUGGUUUCUGACGCUGAGGUGCGAAAGCUAGGGUAGCGAACGGGAUUAGAUACCCCGGUAGUC
rnacentral:rRNA from 1 species